rnacentral:lncRNA from 1 species
CCACAACCCACAACAUUAACGACGUCCAUGCUGGUUUUAAGUCAGAAGCUUCCAGAAGCCUCUAGAAACCCUUCCCGCGACAAUGAAUCACUGCGUUAUUUUUUUGUGGUCACUCAGCUCUGUCAAGAACAAUGUCAGCGUGUGAACUGGCUGAAGUUUCUCUGAAAACAGGGACUUUGCUGCAUUACAUUUCUUUAAAUCUUGUAUUGUGGAGAAACCAUAGAUGCCAUAUUACAACUUCCCAUGACACGCAACGCAGGUGACAAAUAUAGCAUGUGAAUAAGGCAGUGUUCUUCUCUCUAAUUGGCUCAUAAUAAUCUCUUUGACUGAUAAAAGGCGUCUUUGAAACAGAGAGUUACUGUUAGCUUUCAGGUCAAACAACAGUUGAAGCCAGAGCGAAAACGUACAAGGUUUGUGUGUUUUUACACGAUUCAAGGUGCAAAAUGAAGCUUCUUCUCUUCGCAGCAUUUGCAGCAACCCUCAGCUAUGUCAACGCAGGCAAGACUGCAAGGCUGCUGGCAGCUAUGAAUGCAGGGAUGUUGAAUGGGGGACUCUUAAAUGGAGGACUCUUAAAUGGAGCAAACCCCGGGAUGCUGGUUGGUGGUCUGAAUCCACCCAUUGUAGCUGGCGGUGGAGCAGGCGUUAUUGGGCAGCCCCAGUUUGCUCAGUUUGUUCCUCGAGUUCCUGCUUUUGUCGUUCCAGCUCAGGUCGGCAAUGUGUACCCUUUCCCUGCUGUCCCUGCAGUCAAUGCGUACCAGGUUCCUUUCAUGGGAGUACCCCAAAUGGCACCAAUGAAUGCUCCUCAGCAACCUGCAAUGGGGAACCCUGCCGGUGCUGCUCCACAGCAGCUUCCAGUUCAGCCUGAUCCACUUGGAAGAUUCAGGCGCCAGAUUAUGAAAGCCGAAAACACAGUGAAGAGUACUUUGGAUACUCAGAUUCCUUCUUCUGCUCCUUCUGCAUCACCAACAGCAGUGCCCUGCAACAAGGAUAAUUAAGCUGACACCAUUACUGUAACAUUAGCUUUGAAUUGAAUCUACAAGAAAUAUUGAAUAUUAUAACAUUAAAAGUUAACUCCUAUGAUUAUUCAUAAAUUGAUGAAUUUUGUUACAGUGUGUUUGCUUUCUAAUAAAAGUAAUCAUACUCUAAAUAAAAUCUGUCUUGUACGAGUUUUACAGCAUACACCAUCAGUCAUACAGUGGAUCUGUGCUGCCAUCUAAAGGACAUAUAUGAUAAUAGUUUCAUAAAACUACAACUCAUGCUAGAUAGUUAAGAGGACAUCCAUAAAAUGUCAUCAAAAAUAAAAUAAAAAAGAUCAAAAUAACAAAAAUGACUACCAACCCACUUGCCACUAAUUCCAUUGAUAAAGAUAAUACAGAUACUGAUGUCAAGGAGAAUUAGUGAACACACAUAUUACAGCAAACAUGAUGCAGUUCUGAAGUUCUUUCAAACAGCUCCUCCUACAGCCUUUCAGCAUAUACAGACAUACAGAGGC